rnacentral:misc_RNA from 1 species
UUAAAAUUUAAAUAUUUCAUUCAGACAAAUCAAAUGGAGUUAAAAUUCGGCCCCUGUUAAUCUUAACAGAAGCCAAAGCAAAUUUAGUUCACGAAUAUGAAUAUGGACUCAAUAAUGAUCCUUCCGCAGGUUCACCUACGGAAA